AUUGAACGCUGGCGGCAGGCCUAACACAUGCAAGUCGAACGAGUGGCGGACGGGUGAGUAAUGUCUGGGAAACUGCCUGAUGGAGGGGGAUAACUACUGGAAACGGUAGCUAAUACCGCAUACCAUCGGAUGUGCCCAGAUGGGAUUAGAUAGUAGGUGGGGUAACGGCUCACCUAGGCGACGAUCCCUAGCUGGUCUGAGAGGAUGACCGGCAAAACUGGAACUGGGAAACGGCCCAGACUCCUACGGGAGGCAGCGGUGGGGAAUAUUGCACAAUGGGGGCAAGCCGGAUGCAGCCAUGCCGCGUGUAUGAAGAAGGCCUUCGGGUUGUAAAGUACUUUCAGCGGGGAGGCGUUACCCGCAGAAAAAGCACCGGCUAACUCCGUGCCAGCAGCCGCGGUAAUAC
rnacentral:rRNA from 1 species